GACGAACGCUGGCGGCGUGCUUAACACAUGCAAGUCGAACGGAAAGGCCCUGCUUGCCGGGUACUCGAGUGGGGAACGGGUGAGUAACACGUGGGUGUUCCGCGCUGUACUUCGUGAUAAGCCUUCGGAAAUGGGUCUAUUACCGGGUAGGAGCCAUUCUGAGUGUGGUGGGGGGAAAGUUUUUUUGGUGUAGGGGGAGCGCGCGGCCUAUUAGCUUGUUGGUGGGGUGAUGGGCUACCCAGGAGGCGACGGGCAGCCGGCCUGGGGGGGUGGACGGCCCACUUGGGACUGGGAUACGGCCCCGACUCCCUCGGGGGGAAGGAGGUGGGAAUUAUGCACCAUGGGGGCGAGCCUGAUGGAGGGACGCCCCGUGGGGGAUGGCGGGCUUCGGGUUGGAAAAUCCUUUCGGUAGGGACGAAGGUUUUUGUGACGGUACCUAGAUAAGAAGCACCGGCUAACUACGUG
rnacentral:rRNA from 1 species